rnacentral:tRNA from 1 species
AAGGAUUUAAGUUAAAUAAACUUUUAGCCUUCAAAGCUGAAUAUAGAGUUAGGAAUUCUAAGCCUUA